rnacentral:tRNA from 1 species
GGAGAGAUGGCCGAGUGGUCGAAGGCGCAGCAUUGGAAAUGCUGUGUAGGCGCAAGUCUACCGUGGGUUCAAAUCCCACUCUCUCCGCCA